UUAUGAUUUUAAUCGAUUUAUCUAUUUUUUUUCUAGCUCUAAACACGAAUCUUUUUAAUUUUAAUGAAUUAAAAGUGGAAGAUCUAACAGUUACGCGAAGGCAUUUCUUCGUCGAACGCCAUGUUGGAAUGCGACUCCGGAUUUUUACCUGUGUAUGAGUGUAUUAAACCCAAAAAUGGAUGCAGAACGACAUAAAUCCCAAAAGAUGACGCCACUUUGAUGUUAAUAUGGAUUAGCCCUCAAAAAUUGAUAGAAAACGACAUAACCCCCAAAAGAUGGCGCCACUUUGACAUUAAUAAAGAUUAACCCCCAAAAAUGGAUUUAAAACGCCAUAACCGCCAAGAGAUGGCGCUACUUUGACAUUAAUAAGGAUUAACCCCCAAAAUAUUUAUAAAAAGCGACAUAACCCCCAAAAGAUGGCGCCACUUUGACAUUAAAAGAGAUUAACCCCCAAAAAUGGAUUAAAAACAAAAACCUCACCUCUGGUAACUUCUUCGGGGGCCUAAUAUUCAUCCCCCCACCGAUAUG